rnacentral:rRNA from 1 species
UGUCCUACGGGACGCAGCAGUGGGGGAUAUUGCACAAUGGGGGGAACCCUGAUGCAGCGACGCCGCGUGGGUGAAGGAGCGUUUCGGCGCGUAAAGCCCUAUCGGCAGGGAAGAAGGAGGACGGUACCUGACUAAGAAGCCCCGGCUAACUACGUGCCAGCAGCCGCGGUAAUACGUAGGGGGCAAGCGUUAUCCGGAUUUACUGGGGGUAAAGGGAGCGUAGACGGCGAUGCAAGUCUGAAGUGAAAGGCGGGGGCCCAACCCCCGGACUGCUUUGGAAACUGUAUGGCUGGAG